AGCUGUUAGGGACCAAACAACUUAUCCUUGCAACACAAGUCGUAAAGGUGCAGUCUCUAGUACUCAGAAAACCCCAUCUUCUCAACUUGGAAACACUACUUCUUUUAAAGCUUCAUCGUUCAACAUUGACACUUCCAGGCCAGAGUCAAGCCAUGCAAGCAGUUGGUUAUCCAAAAGCUCACCUGCUUCACAAGUUAUUAAUUCAAAAUCACAAAGACCUUCUCUUUCAAAAGCUAAGCCUAAAUCAAAUGUCAAGUCGUCCAACGUUCCUUUGACAAAGUUUUUUCGACCUACUCAGAAACCUAA